CGUUGAGCUAACCAAUACUAAUUGCCCGUGAGGCUUGACCAUAUAACACCCAAGCAAUU
rnacentral:rRNA from 1 species